GUUUUGUCAUAGGAUAGUUGGUCGCUGUGCUGAAAAUCUUCUAGAAUCUGUUCCUGACCUACGCUCCUAAGCACAGAUCUAGGAUCAGCUCAUCCUCAUCAAGUCCAAACCUGGACCUUAAUAAACCACAAGGGGAACACUGACCUCAGACCAGCGUUUAAACCCCACGUCUUCCUGCCAAGACACUGACACUCCGUCCAGAAUUCCUCUGCUCUCCAGCCGUCCAUCCUUCCAUCCAUCCAUCCAGCCAUCCAUCCAUCCGUCCAUCCACACCCCAGCCAGCCAGCCAUGGGUCUGAUGAGUGAGGACAUGGAGUGCUGUGUCUGCCUCCAGCUCUACUCUCGCAGGGAGAAGAUCCCUCGGAUGCUCCACUGUAAGCACACAUUCUGUGGGUUGUGCUUGCAGGCGAUGUCCAGGCUCCAAAGCGGCCUACUGACAGUCUGCUGCCCCCUGUGCCGUUGGAUCACCUGCACCGAGCCCAGCCUCACCCUGCCGGGGUCGCUGUGGGUUAACAUUGAGAUCUGGGACCAGAUACUAGACAGACAACAGGAAGAGGAGGAGGAGGAAGAGGAGGAAGAGUGGAAGGGAGCUAACAGACAGACACAGACCACUACACAGUACACAUGUUCUCCAUCAAGGCAUUGUGGCCUGAGGCUCAAACUACAGAAUUUCCUGAGGAGGAUGAAGCACAAUGUAUUGUAAACCAAGAAGACGAAGAGCAGAGAAAGAAGACUGGAUUUUCCCAUCUCAGAGCAGGAGAUACUCAUUGAGUAAUGAAGCUAAUUCACAAAACAGGACCCACCGGUGAUUUUCCAUAAUGAAGCAAGAUUGAACCAAUUAUUCAUAUGCUUUGUGUUUGAUUGACUUUGGGUAUGUGUAAUGUUCUCAGUCAACUUACCUGGUAAAAUAAGGGUUAAAUUAUAGUAUUAAUCAUAAAGGAU